rnacentral:rRNA from 1 species
AUUGAACGCUGGCGGAAUGCUUUACACAUGCAAGUCGAACGGCAGCACGGACUUCGGUCUGGUGGCGAGUGGCGAACGGGUGAGUAAUGCGUCGGAACGUGCCGAGUAGUGGGGGAUAACGCAGCGAAAGUUGUGCUAAUACCGCAUACGUACUGAGGUAGAAAGUGGGGGACCUUCGGGCCUCACGCUAUUCGAGCGGCCGACGUCUGAUUAGCUAGUAGGUGAGGUAAAGGCUCACCUAGGCGACGAUCAGUAGCGGGUCUGAGAGGAUGCUCCGGCACACGGGGACUGAGAAACGGCCCAGACUCCUACGGGAGGAAACAGUGGGGAAUUUUGGACAAUGGGCGAAAGCCUGAUCCAGCCAUGCCGCGUGUCUGAAGAAGGCCUUCGGGUUGUAAAGGACUUUUGUCGGGGAGGAAAUCCCCAGCGUUAAUACCGCUGGGGGAUGACGGUACCUGAAGAAUAAGCACCGGCUAACUACGUGCCAGCCGCCGCCGUAA